rnacentral:misc_RNA from 1 species
AUAAUGAAAGGUCUGAAUAAUAAGCCUGGAAAAUGGUAAAGCUGAGUCACUAGAAUGACUCAGUAGGUCAUGGGGUAAGACGUCAUAAGACAGAGUAAAACCAAACCUUGGAUAAAUAAAUGGAAUAGAUCGGGUAUCGAAAAGUGUUGGUGAGGCGACCACAUAGGAAGGUCGAAGAAUUCGGUUUGGUAUCCCCUGUUCAGUCAUAAGGUACCAAUAAGUUAAAGAAGUCUUGCGCAGACCCCCUGACACCUUUGAACGUCAGAACCCUUAGUCUUAGGCCCUCUCGAUAGGUAAAAUUUAGAGAGAUCGGAAAGACCCUUAUCUGACUGCCGUUUAAAUAGAAGAGAUCAGAAAGAAGUCUUUAUCCGAUCCUCAACCAGAAUUUCAGCAAAUAUUUAAAAGAGAUCGGAAGAGAGUUUUUAUCCGGUUCUCAAGCUUAAAAAUUUUAAAGAGAUUGGAG